UUUUAUAUCUGAGAUCAUUGAGGCACAGUUAUACAGAAUAACUUGCCUAAGGUUAUACACCUUAAAAGAGAGAGAAUGACCCAAGAUUCAAAACUGGGCAGUCAACUUCUGCAUCUCUUUGCUUGUGAGCUGGCCUUGAAUGACAAUAAUGAUGACAUCAACAACAGUAGUAACAGUAACUUGUUACUUUUGAGUAAUUACCAUGUGCCAGGUAAUUCACUUUACUAUAUUAUCAUUUAGAGUCUUACAAUAACUCUGUGUAGCAGGAUCAUGACUCAGGCUUUGAAGAUGAGAAAAGAAAAACUUGGAAUUGCCAUCUAAGAUAUGAUGGAAAGACUCGCCCAAGGACUUGCAAUUAAUAAGUAGAGGUUGAACUGCCUCUAAAAGUGAGACGACUGCUCUUUUCCCUUGCCACCCUUGUCUCACAUAAAUGAGUACAAGUGAGGAAAGAGACCAUUCUAGGUAGCUGUGGGGAGUAAGCUGCAUAUGGAAUUGUGGCUUCCAGUAUGGAUAACGGUUUGGCUGGAGGUGUGUGUGUGUAAAUGGAUGAUAGAAGAAAAAACUUGAGAGACACUACUGGCAUUUAAAGCAAGUCUCAACUAUUAAUGCCCUCCAACAAUCCAACGCACUUCAGGUGCAGGUAAGAGGGUGUUUUCAGAUGAGGUGUGAUUUCUUCAAGCCUCUGAUUCUAUUUCUGUUGACUGUCCUACACUCAUUCCAAAUCUCUUCAAUUUACUUCCUUGUGUCUUAUUUUCAGCUUGAUUUAAGAGUAGCAUUACCAGAUUUAGCAAAGAAAAACACAGGAUAUCAGCUAAAUUAGAAUUUCAGGUAAGCAGCACAUAAUUUUCGGUAUAAGUAUGUCUCAUGUAAUUACAUAUAUGCAAGCACACCUAGGAAGCCCAUGGAAAGGCACAUUUCUCAGCUAUGGGGCUUGGACAGCCCUGGUGACAGCUUAAUAAACUGCUACCUACACAUUUCAGAAAGGGCUCCCCCAUAAAUGGUCCUAUCUUCUCCUAUGUGUGGUCACCCAGAAGAAGUUCUGUCAACAAGGAUUUACCUUCUCUACAUUCAAAACACCACAUCUGGUGACCAAUUAGAAGAGGGGAUUCAGAAUUAAAACUGGGCUUAAAGAUACUGUGCCAAUAAUUGCCGGUAGAUGUGCUGCCUUGUAAUGCAGCCAUGUGUUCCUCAUUUGGCUUUGUUAGCUACCAGGAGGUCUUCUUGCAAAUAAGCAUCCUAGCAUUCGCUGGGCUUACUCUUGAAACCUCUCCUUGGUUGCUAUCCAUGCCCCCCACCCCCCCAUUUGAUCAUGGCACACCACCUUCAAUGUGGGCAUGCUGCCAGUAGAGCAGAUGGCUGUGAACCUUGGCAUGCCAGGAAACCAUUAGGUUCAUCAGUGUGAGCAACAGGGGGCAAGUUUCUAUCUGCAAAUGUGAAACUAACAGCCCUGUAGGACAAGGGGCAGAAGCCCUCUUGAUCUGGGGGGCUGACCUUUCAGUCCCAGGUACAGUCUCUGCAGAACUGCAAGUUUAGAGCUCUGCAGGAAGGAAUGGCCUCAGGAGAGACUGAGCAGGAGAGGAGGAGGCUGCUGAAAUCGACAAAAAGCUCCAUUUCUACUUGGCUAGAGGGCACUGAGGGCCCCGGCUGCUUGUGGGUGACAGCGAGCGCAUUCAGCAGGAGGCUGCUUCCCAUUUCUGGUAUGGAGAAAGCACCCGGGUUAAGAUGAAAUCAGCACAGAGAAUCAGUACAUUCUGGGACAGACAUUGGAGUGGGGCCCCAUCCUUCAUACUUCAGUGAAGCAUGAUGCUUUAAAGAAAACACGCAGGAGAUGAACUUUUACGAUUAAAACUUCAUAAAUCUUUCUGAGUUAAACCUGAAAUCCCUCAUCUGAGGACCAGAACUCCUAGGAAGAUGGAUGUCCCCACCCCUGGGAGGAGUAGUAACUUUGUACUUGGAACCUGUCUCCUUUCUUUCAAGUCAUUCAGGGGAGGAUGUCAACUCUUUACCACAAACGUAUUUCUACAUUUGAAUAUAUAAAUGAUAGAGUUCCUUACCUUUUAUAAGUUUCUUUCUGACAGGUAGACUCAGAAAACAUCUCUCCCUAAAACUGAGAUGUUGAUAUAAAUAUCUGAAGGAAAAUUCUAAUCACAGUAUACAUUGAACAGGCUCACUGAUCUUGUAUACCUGGAAAAAGAUUUUCAAACAGACUUUGUCAGCUCAGUCUUGGCAUUCCUUGUCAAACAAAAGCAUGCCUAAAGACACAUUUCAAAAGCAGACGAUGCAGCACUUGCUAACCUGCAGAAAAUCGAAAAGGAACGCAGAGGCCAAGAACAAACAGAAUAGGGAACCAAUGAGGAAUGGUGCACAGUUCUGAGAAACCAUUUCAGAGAACCAAAUAUGUUUUUAAAAGACCACAUCAAUAAUUAAGCAUCAGCAGGUCAAACUCCAUUUUUCAUUUGCUGCAAUUGUCUUCAGAUAUGUAAUGAAGAAAUGAGAUUAUUGAUUCAGUCUCAGUAAAAAGGAGCUAAUACUCUUAAUCUGGAGAAUAAAAUGGGAAAAAAGAGGGUGGAAGAGGGAAAGAAAUUUAUUUUUGUAGGGGAUGCUUGCAUAAGUCAGAUUACCAUCAGUUAUGUCAGAAUUUAAACAUUUCAAUCAACUGUAGCUGAAGUAAAAGGGUAUCUCAUUUUUUGAAAGGCAAAUACAUAGACCUAUUUUCCCACUCAAAUUUACAUUACUCAUGUGAAUUAACUUUGGUUGACUUCAGUGAUUUGAUAGUGUGCUAUUCAGUAAGAGACAACACUUAGCUUACUGCUAUCCAGAUUAAAACAUAGGGUUUUCUAAGGCUUUCAAAUUUUUUUCUUGUUCAUUUGCAAAAUGGACAGAAAAAUUAUUACUUAUAGUACAAUUGGGCCUAAACAUUGCCAACGGAUUUUUUUUGACCUUUAUAAAUAUUUUUCCUACUUACAUGAAGCAUAAACUUGGGCAUCCAUGGACACUUUCUGUACCAUCAUAUACAGCCUAUGCUAAGGCAUGUACAGGAGGCAUGUUUAAGAGCAAAAGGACAAUACAGAGGACUCUGGAGAGAUGACUGCUGAUGCAGAUACAGGUAUGUGAGGCUGGUUAUUGUUGAAGGGAAGUGGGGAGUUUUACUUUGGCUAACUUGGAGGCAUUGGCAUCUUCUACCUCCUCCUAUGUUCAAACGGACUUGUAUGCACACACUGAAGGAGACUGAGUCUUAACAGGCUUGCAUUUGUUAGUAUAUAAUGUACUUACAUAAAAUCUUACCUUUCCAUCGUAGUGUGUUAACAGAAAUGCCACAGUGGAAAUGACUAGAAAGAAUAAUUGAAUAAUAUUUAUGAGCAUUUUAUAUCAUUUCAGAUUAAAUAUUUUAUUAAUUUGUUUCUAAAAGGAAAAAGAAUAAAUUGUCCAACCAUUGUUUUUUUCCAUAAGUAUAUGAAUAAAAUGAGACAUCUUUUUGAUCUAGCAAUUACAGUGAUUUGAAAAUUUCAUUCCUUCCCAGUAUCUGCAGAGGUACCAUUUUGCAGAUAUGAGGUUCUAGACAAGUUACUUGACCUCUAUGUGUCUCAGUUUUAUGUGCAAAAUAGGAAAAUAGGUAUACCUGCCUAACAGCAUUACUGUGAGGAUUACAUGUAUAUAUGUGUAAGAUGCUUGGUACAUGGUUGGUGCAUAAAUACAUGUUGUCAUUAUGGUGGUACUUGCUACAUAUGUACAGAUAUAAAGCUAUUUUUAUUUAAAAACUUCAUUCAGAUAUAAUUUGCAUAUCAUCAGUUUUAUCCAUGUAAAAUGUACAAUUCAAUGAUGCCUUGCAAAUUGACAGGUUACACAACCAUCACCACAAUCCAGUAUUGUUCAUUCAUUCAUCAGUUGGUGCUCACUUGGAUUGAUUAUUCAUACGUUUUAGGUAUGGAUAAUGCUGCUGUGAACAUUGUCAGAGAAGUCUCUGUGUAGACACACAUUUUCACCCUUUCUUCUGUGUAGACACACAUUUUCACCCUUUCUGUGUAGAUUAUGUUUUUAUUUUCCUUGGAUAGACACUUAGGAGUACAAUUGUUGGGUCAGAUAAUAAAUUUAGGUUUAACUUUUGGAAAUUGCUGAACCGUGAUUCAAAGUAGCUGCAUUUUUUGACAUUCCCACCAACAACAUUUUGAGGAAUUCAGUUUUCCCAUA